AAGAGAAGGGUAAAACCCUAGAGA
rnacentral:siRNA from 1 species